CUCUAAACACACCCUCUCUACAACCAGUACACACACUACGUCACCUAUACACACACACUUCAGCCCGUAUGCACACACUCGCUACAUCCCCUAUAAAACUAUGCCCCCUAUACACACACUCUCUACAGCCCCUAGCCACACAUAUUACACCACAAACACAAAUGAAAUUGACCUAUUUACACAAUACCACACCACACUCUACACACACGCAAUCCCACAAGCAGGCUCCAAACAUAUGCACCAUGCACUUUCCUGGCC
rnacentral:lncRNA from 1 species